CCACAGGCUCUUUUCAGAGUCAUUCCCUUUUAAAUGAAAUAAAUG
rfam:Egretta garzetta contig15108, whole genome shotgun sequence.